AAGACCUCACUGUGAAGAUCAGGA
rnacentral:piRNA from 1 species